GCAAAGGAUGAGAAUGGGGACUCACGGAAACUGAUCUGUGCCUGUAACCUCUGUUUUGGGAUCCCUGAAAAAGAUGGUAGACUCUAUGUGUUCUCAAAAACAAAGGAAACCCAAGCAAGUCAUGAGAAAUUCCAGUUUUCUGGACAGGUGUCCUCUCUCCCACCUAUUUCUUCAGACCUCGUAGGACUCUGCCACCACCAAAUUUCUUGGCAUCAGGACCCUGCUUCACCAAGGAGCUAUGGAAUAAGGAAAUGAUGGACCAGGAAUCACUGUUGAAAUGUCAACCGGCCACAUGAAGAUUACCCAAAAGCCAAGGCAAGGCCAACUUUGAGAACUUAGAAGGCUAUUUCUAUGGCCCUGACUUCAAUAGGCCCCAGAGCUCUGUGGCUCCAAGCUGAUGUGACUCUCUGAGAAGGCACGACUCCGCAGCGGGCGGGGCAUGGAGGCCAUGGAGCUCCCCUCCUCAUAAGUGGAAGUUUCCUCUGU